rnacentral:misc_RNA from 1 species
UCCGGUUUGUCACCGGCAGUCUCAUUAAAGUGCCCAACUUCACUUGCUGGCAAUUAACGACAAGGGUUGCGCUCGUUGCGGGACUUAACCCAACAUCUCACGACACGAGCUGACGACAGCCAUGCAGCACCUGUGUAUCGGCUCCUUUUCAGGCACUCCCACAUCUCUGCAGGAUUCCGACCAUGUCAAGGGUAGGUAAGGUUUUUCGCGUUGCAUCGAAUUAAUCCACAUCAUCCACCGCUUGUGCGGGUCCCCGUCAAUUCCUUUGAGUUUUAAUCUUGCGACCGUACUCCCCAGGCGGUCAACUUCACGCGUUGGCUGCGUUACCAAAACCUAACGGUUCCGACAACUAGUUGACAUCGUUUAGGGCGUGGACUAC